rnacentral:misc_RNA from 1 species
GAUGAAGAACGCAGCGAAAUGCGAUAAGUAAUGUGAAUUGCAGAAUUCAGUGAAUCAUCGAAUCUUUGAACGCAUCUUGCGCUCCUUGGUAUUCUGAGGAGCAUGCCUUUUUGAGUGUCAUUAAAUUCUCAACUACACUGACUUUGAAUUGGUGUGGCUUGGAUUUGGGGGGAAAAUUGUUGUGGGCUUUUUGUAUAGUCUGCUCCCCUGAAAUUGAUUAGCGGUACCUUUGUGGAACUGUCUACAGGUGUGAUAAUUAUCUACAUCUUAGACAUCUGCUGGAAUGCUGCUUUCUAAACCUUACUUGUAUUGACAAUCUUGACCUCAAAUCAGGUAGGACUACCCGCUGAACUUAAGCAUAUCAAUAAGCGGAGGA